rnacentral:snRNA from 1 species
AUACUUACCUGGUGCCGGGCCCUCGUUGAUCACCAACGGCGAGUACCCAGGGUGAGUCGCGGGCAUUGCACUGCGCUGGCUUUGACCCCUGCCACUACCCCAAACUGGGGCAGAUGGGGCAUGGAAAUUGCUUAAAUCCGGUACAACGCAAGAGGGCGCCAUCGCC